AGACACGAGAAUAACUACUUUACCCGGUUAAAUAUAGAAUCUAUGACGCGCUUAAUACCACUGCUCAGUUUUAUCUGCAGGAGGCUUCGCAAGUAGCAAAAGUAGGGAAUCACACACCUUGGUUAUUUAGCAGCAGCAGCAGCAGCAGAUCCAGUGCUCUGAGAAGAGUAGUGGGGAUGUGGGCUAUGAAAGAAUAGUAGUGAGCUUGUGGUGUUGAUGUGAACUAAAUUUGUCGUUCCUCUACCUUAUGCCUUUGUUCCCAACGUCAUAAGAUUGUGACAGAGAAUGGUCCAGAGUACAAGCAACUAUCCUGUCGAUUAGUUCUAGGCCCGGCUGCGCAUCAGAGGUAUAAAAAAGUGUUUAUUAGGAAUGCUUUCCUGGGUAUCAACAUUAUUAGGGUCCCUAAUUGAGUCGUUAAAAAAUUCUGAGGUAAUCGAAAGGAGAUGCACUAUUUGAAGAAAAUUUUCUUUCUUUCCCACUUGAUAGUUGAUAUAUUCUGAGAUGCACUAGUUGAUAUAUAUAAUGGUCUUGGUCGAAUUUUUUGAGGAUAGUUUGUUGUACUUCAUCUCAGUAAAAUAAUCAGAUUUUUUUUGGUUAUCUUAUUAGUUCAAAGUUGAAUUGUUGGUGCCUAGCUAGUCUGAGACUUAUGUUCUGCCGUACCUGGAGUAUUUUACCAAGGCUUGAGUGAUACAGUUGUACUAGUUGAUUAUUUUAAGAUGCACUAGCUGAUAUAUAUAAUGGUCUUGGUCGAAUUUUUCGAGGAUAGUUUGUUGUACUUCAUCUCAGUAAAAUAAUCAGAUUUUUUAUUAUCUUAUUAGUUGAAAGUUGAAUUGUUGGUGCUUAGCUAGUCUGACACUAUGUUCUGCCGUACCUGGAGUAUUUUACCAAGGCUUGAGUGAUACAGUUGUACCAAAUGUUUAAGGAGUGUAAAUGCCUCUGAAUUUUAUUUACAACAUCGACAGGAUUGUUAAUUAUUAUGUCAUGAAAAUGCACAUCCAGAUUCAAUCUGUAAUACUAGAAGAACAGGCCAAAAUAAAUACUAGAAGAAAAUAAAACAAAAAUCUGUUAAAAUUUUGGACGUAAUUGAAAGAAAAAAGGAGGCACUAUUCAAAAAACUUGUAUUUUUUUUCAUUUGGUAGUUGAUAUAUAUAAUGGUUGAAUUUUUGGAGUGUAGUUUGUUGUACUUUAGUAUCUCAUUAAACCAUCAGUUUUUUCUGUAAUUAUUUUCUUUGUGUUUCGAGAUUGGUAUAGUGGUAUCAUAUAAAGGCUUUGAGAUUGGUCACUGUGAUAUAUUAGACGUGUUUGCGGCCAUUAGUAACUACUCCCUCCGUUCCUAAAUAUUUGUCUUUCUAGACAUUUCGAAUGACUACUACAUAUGGAUGUAUGUAGACAUAUUUUAGAGUGUAGAUUCAUUCAUUUUGCUCCGUAUGUAGUCACUUGUUGAAAUGCCUAGAAAGACAAGUAUUUAGGAACGGAGGGAGUAAUAGAUUUCACCUUCUUGUCAUUUGGAGGGCUCCGUCAACAUCAACAACAUUAAUUAGUUUGAUAAAUUACAUCUUGGCAUUUAAAGGGCUCCGUCAAACAUUGGUGGGCUAGUAGAACCAGCAUGAACAUUCCAUACAGAAAAGCUAUGGCCUCGCCCGCGUCUUCCGGCACAAAAGUGUGCUGCCCACAAUAGUCCUAAACAUCAUCAUGGAGGAGGCCCAGCUAUGGGUCGCCACGGGUGCAAAGAAGCUUGGUAAAAUUGUAUUGCGCGAGUAAUUGUCAUGCAGUGUUGUAAGGGAUGAUUGUAGAACUCUAUUCUCAGACAAAUCUUUUGCCCCCAUUUAAAAAAUAUAUAUGUAUCACGCAGCAAAAGAACAAAUGUUGUUUACCCUGGAGAAAAUUACAGAAAUGAACAGGCAGUGUUUGUACUUUCUUUUAUUUCAAAGAGAGAUAAGCAUCAUUAUUAUUUUUUGUGUGUGAGAAAGGAAAGAUAAUAUUAUUUGAGUGCAAUCACCAUCUUCACUAACUACCUAUUUUUUUCAUAGUGUGUGAUGUAUUUUCAUAGUGUGCUGCCACCAUCUUCACUAACUACCUACUUUUUUAGAAACCACAAACUACAUAGUUUGUGCUUGGUUUUCACCUAGGCUGUUGAAUGUGACCUUGUAUUGAUGCCUAUGUCACCAACCUUGUAUUGAUGCCUAUGUCACCAACCAUUGUAAAUUUUCUACAUCGGAAAGAAAUUCUUAACAUGAAAAGUUGUGCAUGUCACAGUUAAAUAUAGAUGCAUUUAAAACUCACUUAGAAUGCGCUCAUGCUUGUUGCAUGAUAGAUGAUUCUCAUGCAUAGAUCGAACGGAUGCUAGUGGUACUGGAUCAAGCUAGUAACUCACUUAGAAGUUUGUUUUAUCACUCUCAUUUUUUUAAGCAACUUUUUUUUAGCAAACCACUCUCAUGUAUAUUAGGAUGAUGAGCUGGCAGCUCAAAAAAAAUAGGAUGAUGAGCUGGCGUCAUAGGUUUUUUUUAGGACUAGCUGGCGUCAUAGGUGAAGCCUAACAUGACACAGCCCAGGGCCCAGGCCCAGUUAAAACACGACCCAGCAGUUCAGCAGGUGCGUAAACGCUCUCCGAAGGCGGAGACGCCUCCUCCUCUACGGUUCUCACUCCUCUCCUCCGUGACCUCUCUGUCCAUGGCCGCCACGAGGAAGCUCGGCAGCUCGCCGGCGGCGGCGGCGGCGAAUGGGAAGGCGUAGGCGAAGGAAGACGACGAGGAGGGGCUCUUCUCCUCGCGCUCCUUCGCCGACCUCGGCCUCCACCCCACCCUCUGCGCCCUUCUCCAAGGUCCCUCCCCCUCUCCGAUUCCCCGUAUUUCUGUGGCCCUAGUGAUUUGGUAGUCCCCUCGGGAACCAGGAUCUCACGUCUUUUCUGAGAAAAAUAUGUACAUAUGAUUUUCAAAUUUCUAAUCUGGAUGGUUAAAAUGAUGUUCGUAGUUAAAUUUUUAAAAGUUUGACUCGAGGCAUGUCCAAAACUCCACUUUUUUGUGAUAUGGAGAGAGUUUGGAUUCGUGCAUAGGAACCUUGUUUAUAUUAAGUACAAUUGCUUCAAAUAAGAAAUGAGAAUCCUCUGAUCGUCCAUAUCGCCAGUUUUGAGGGAUGGGCAGUGCAAUAUUCUACUGUAAUUUACAGCGAAUCCAGUGCCCAGGUAUGGUAUUUCCACUAAUCGCAUGUCUUGUAGGCCCAAUACAAUAACCAAGUACACAUAGCUAAAAGAACGCCAGAUUCACUUACGGAACCCUUUGUUCAGAAAUUAAAUGGAGCGACAGAAGCAAAGUGUUGCACAGUUGCCUUUUGCUGCAUAUAUGGUCGCGUAGUUGCGCAGUUGGACCAAAUCAAAGCAUGUUGAAUAUCAACACUCAAAUCACCAUCCCAUCUUGUUCCAAGAUAUACUAGCAUAAAGUAGCGUUGCGUUGAGAAUCAUGCAAGUAGCUACAGAGGCGCUAAGUUGCCGAUAUGUUUGUGCACUUGAAAAACUGUUUGAAUCUUACUGAUCAUCAUAUGUUUCAUCAGGUUUCCAUUUAGAUAUAGCAUACAUCACUCUCCCUUUCCAUCCUUGUAGCAGCCAGCCGCAAUCUUCAACAGCAAAGAAUUCUUCAUGAUAAUGUAAGUUCUUCAUGUGUACUAUGUUCUUUAAGAUGGCCUGAUCCACGGGAAGCUGCUGGAACCCAGCCUUGAGGAACCUUCCUUGCCACUGCCUGUAACUCUCUGGCCUCUGAGUCCUUUCUGCAUCCUCACAUGCUAUUAUGUUAAGUGCAUCCCGCCCAAAUGGGAUCCUCUCAAGCAUCUUUCUUGCUUCACUAUCCCGUGGAAUAUUUGCAUCAAGCAUGUCAAACACUGAAGAGUAAUGGAGCAUAACUUCUUUGAAUCGUUGUAUGAAGAAGGGAGAACUAUGUAACACGUUCACAGUGCCAGAAAUGAAAACCUUUGGGUUCAUCCUCCUCAUAGUUUUCAGCACCUCGUCCCUUGCACUAUUUAUGCCAUCGGUUUCAUGACCAAGAUUCUUCAUCCGGAAUAUGCAGUUGAUUAUGAGAACUUCAUCCUCGUCAAUGUUAAGAUCCUCAAUUUUAACGCUGUCCCAUCUUGAAGCAGCAAUGCCCUGAUACUGAAAAGGUACCCUAAACAUGUUUGCAUAAUCAGCCAACCGCUUCCCUGUCUCCUCGAUCAUUUCGCAGGGGCGAAAACCUGGCUGAGCAACGUCUAUACCUGUGAUCCGAAGCGUAGGGGCUCUCUCUUGUUGCUGUGCAAACUUCUGAAUCAUUAAUGGCCACUGAAAGCCAUAGCCGAUGCCAAAAUCAAUGAUGUGCACCCUUGGUUGCCCUUUGGAGACAUCAAGAAUAGCUUGGCUCGCAAAGUAGUAUGACGUCCUGACAAAAGGGCAAGCUGCAACAAAAAGGCUGUAAGCCUCUAACCAAUCCGUGGGACUUGUUAGCCUCUCGAUGAGGGUGCGAUAAACCUGAUUCCCGCUCCCAGCCAAGCGUGCCUCAAGGCCGUCCGCCAAGUAAAAUGCCAGUCUCUGAGUGCAAUCACCAUCUGCUGAAGAGUGUUGUCUUAUCUUUAAUAGCAGUUCACUGGCCAACAGGUAGCUGCCUUCUGCCACAGCUUGUGCGCAAUGGAUGAGGAGAGUCCUGAGAUCAACCAACUCUUUCCUCGGUUGCAUCCUAGCCCUUAGCUUCUGACGGCCUUUGCUCCGGCCUUUCAGUGGGUUCUUGUUUCCUGUCUCUGCCAUCCUUUCUCGCAGUCUUGUUAUUUGAUCAAAACUCUUCCAACCAUAGCAUAGCAGAAAUCGGUCGAAAUUUUCGUUUCGAGUUAUUGCACAAGUGGUGAAGACAAGAUGUUUAUUGCUCCUUGCUUCCAAGAUAUCCCAGUUUUCGCUCCUCUGUCCUACCGUCUCCUUUAUAGUCAGUUUGGAAAUAGAAAGUAUGUCAUUCUCUAAAUAUAUCACCAGCUUACCAAUACGCGGAGCAAACAUCGUUGCCUCCUCGACAUCUCUCUGACAAUGGAAGGCAGGGAAACCAGAUCUAGAAGUCGGUCCAACACUUAUCAACGGACUAUUUUGUAGAGAAAGACUCCUAUUGCAGGUAUAUGGACUCAACAGGUUUGUCAAGGGCUGUAACACGCUGUAACUGGAACAGUUAUUACUGAAGCUUGUGCUCCAGAGCCUCUUGUAACAGCUGGUACCACUCUUAUCAGGGUUGUCUGGUUUGUUGUUGCUAUGCAUUGGCGGAUAGUUAGUAGCCGGCGCGUAUACCUCCCCAAGAAUGUCACGGAAUGGCUUCUCAGCAGCCUGGAGAGCAGCCUCCCCUUGGCAUCUGUUGACCCUCUCGUCGACCUCUUCCAUCAGCAUCUGUCUUAUGUAGUGAAGGGCAUCAUUUGAUCUGAUCCGGCGGUGCUCAGGGCUACCGCCUGCAGCAAUCUGAAAUUGGUCUUGUCCAUGGUUGCUGUUGACACUUGCUUGGUUGGCUGGGGAGAGAGCUGUGGAGUGUGGACCACUCAGGUCGUGGUUGUACACGGUAAGUUGUUGCUGGGAAGAGAAAUCACCCUUGUAUGAUUGGUUGGUUGCUACGACAGUCUUCAGAUUGUCACAGGGAGGUUCAGUUGCCAUUGUGGAAAGUCUGAUUUCCACCUCAAUAUGAGAUAUAUGAUGCUUCUUUGUCCCACAGCAAAUGAAUCAGCUUCUUUCCUGGACGAAGAAACAGGGAAAUGGAAACUAAAUUAUGUGAGACGAAUCACCUUGCUCAUGUCCUAUGUGAGACGAAUUAUGUGAGCAAGUAGCAAAAGUAGGGAAGCACACACCUUGGUUAUUAAGCAGGAGCAGCAGCAGCAGCAGCAUCAACAUCAGAUCCAAUGCUUAGAGAGAAGAGUAGCGAGGAUGUGGACUAUGAAAGAAGAGUAGUGAGGUUGUGGUGUUGAUGUGAGCUAAAAUUGUCGUUUCUCUACCUUAUGGCUUAGUUCCCAAUGUCAUGAGAUUGUGACGGAGAAUGGUUCAGAUUACAAGCAAUUAUUCUGUCGAUUAGUUCUAGGCCCGGCCGUGCACCAGACCUAUAAAAAGGGUUUAUUAGGAGCUGGCCUGGGUUUCAGUCAUUAUUAAGGUUCCUAAUUGUAUUGUUAAAAAAAGGAGAUGCAUAAUGAAAAUAGCACUUAGCUGGUAUUCAAGGAAAAAAGAAGGCACUAUUCAAUGAAAUUUGACAUAAAAAUGUCUUACACACACUGUGUUUUGGGACGGAGGGAGCAUCAUGGAAGUGGGUGUGGUUCUUUUGUUUUCUUUGAGGGGGAGGCGGGUCUAAUUUUUCAUGAGUGAGUUCUGGCGUGACCAGGUGGGCCUAACGUGACACGUCCCAGGGCCCAGGGCCCAGUCAUUAUUAACGUGUUGAAAGUUGUCUUAGUUGGAGGUCAGAAAAUGGAAGUUGCUUAUUUUAGUUGAAAUGUUAGAAUAUUUGCAGAAAUGAAACAUUGGGGAGGAAACGCACCUGCACGAAAUGAAAAAAAAAUACUGAUUUGAAAAUUACUAGGUGGAAAAUGUGUUGAAAGUUUUCUCAGAUGGGUCUACAAAAAUACAAGUUGACUAUAUUCUUUGAAAUUUGAGAAUAUUUCCAAAUAGGGAUGAAAAGUACUUGCCCCUAAAAAAUCUAAACAUUGGGAAUGAAAUGUUGGGGAGAAAAGAAAUACUGGGUGAAUUUUUUGUUGAAAGUUGUCUUAGUUGGAAGUCAAAAAAUGAGAAUUGUAUAAAUUUUGGUUGAAAUUUGAGAAUGUUUCCUUAAAGGAUUAGGGACGAAAGGUACCUGCCUAGAAAAACGAAAUAUUAGGGUGAAAAGAAAUAGUAGGUGGAAAUGGUAUUGAAAGUUUUCUAAGGUGGAUGACGAAUAAUAGAAGUUGUCUACAUUUUGAAUUGAGUUAAAUUCGUAUGUGAAAAUAGUUUCUAAUGAUAUAUAUUUUUAUAGCUACCAACAUCUCAUAUACUCCCUCUCUUCCAGUUUAUUGGGCUCAUCUUAGACCUACUUAGGUGCCAAACAACAUAUUAACACUACUAGUAGGAGGGACGUGCACUGCACGUGGUGUCCUGGUCGAACUGCAGGUAAGAUAUCUGUUGCUUCAUAAAAAAAAUCUCUGUUUACACGAUAGGUACUACAAAGUCAGCCACAUACGAUCUUGAAUGAGAAAACUUCUAGUCACCAUCACGUGAGGAUGCAAGGUGUGCGCAGUAGCCGUGCAGUGUCUCCUAUUGGUCCAGAAAAAUCCCGUCCACCUCGUUUUGGCGGGCUACUGGAUGGAGCGAAUCCCAGUGACUACAGUCGUUGGAUCACUCGAGUUUGCUAUGAUAAACGAUAGGGAUCCACUCCAUAGAAGAAAUCAACGGCUAAGAAGUGCCUCUCAUCAGGAUGGAUGGCUAAUCCCAAAUUCAAAAUUUAUUGUACUAUAGUAGUAGAGAUAUGCAUGGCCCUCUCACUCCUUCAUGCAUUGGUUUAUUCUAAAUUGAGAAUAAAAAUUUGACAAAAAUUAAUGUGGAUACAAUUAUAUUUGCAUGUUCCAAAGACAAUGAGCCUUACAAUUUGACUUUUUUGUUCAUGGAGUAUUAUUAAUUUUAUCAAUUAGCAAAGCCAACCUCGAAGAACGUACUAGGUGCUAUAUACUUGGAUGGAUGAGAGUCUAAACUUAAACACUUGCCAUGCAAUUCAAAUGUGCCUUUGAGAUUUUAGAAUUUUACUGGGUUGAGGCACAAGAUUUAAUGGAUGGAGGCCCGUAAAAUCUAACCCGAUUAAGGGAUAGAUCAGUAGGGACAUCUUCAUUCAUACUCGCUCUGUCCCAUAAUAUAGUGCGCAACGCAUAUUGGUUUUCAUGAAAGUCAAAGGUCAUAAAUUUUGACAAAAUUUAUAGAGAAAUUGAUCUUUCUUCGGUAAAGGGUGGAUUUUAAAUCAAAAUUCAAAACAUUGGUAAAGGUAAAAAUAACAAAUUCAACACUGAAUAGUAGAUGCCAUAAGUUGGGCUUUAGAUUUGGCCCAUUAUCACAUUGAUGUCAAAUUUAUCAUUUUUGUAUCUCAUGCAACGUUUCGAAUUUUCAUAUGAUAUUUUAUGACAACAUAUAUUAAUAUUGUGUCAAUGUAGAUUGUUUUCAGAUUUUUAAAGAUAUUUUAAUAUGCGCUACGGCGUCCGGGUGCACCGGUGCAGAAGAUACAUUCCGGGAGAAGGGUCUUAUUUUUCUGGAACUAGUGCAAUAUUUGUGUGUUAAUCAUGUGAUUAGUGCAAUAUUUGGUAUGAUAUUAAUUACAUGUUAAACACGUUUAACGCUCGUCAUUGGAGCAGUCUAGGUCGUUGGAUUGACUUAGUUCGAUGGCCGAGAUCAGUUGGAUCUGCCCCUUUGGAUUUUUUUUAUAUUGGUAUAUAGAUAUAGAUAUAGAUAUAGAUGAAUUCUGGCGUGAUCAGGUGGGCCUAACGUGACACGGCCCAGGACCCAGGCCCCAGGCCCAGUUAAAACAAGAACCAGGGUGCGUAAACGCUCUCUUCUAUCCUCCACGACCUCUCCAUGGCCACCAAGAGGAAGCCCGGCAGGUCGGCGACGGCGGCGACGCGGAGGGCCUAUUCUCCUCGCGCUCCUUUGCCGACCCCACACUCUGCAAGGUCCCUCCGACACCCCCCCCCCCNNNNNNNNNNNNNNNNNNNNNNNNNNNNNNNNNNNNNNNNNNNNNNNNNNNNNNNNNNNNNNNNNNNNNNNNNNNNNNNNNNNNNNNNNNNNNNNNNNNNNNNNNNNNNNNNNNNNNNNNNNNNNNNNNNNNNNNNNNNNNNNNNNNNNNNNNNNNNNNNNNNNNNNNNNNNNNNNNNNNNNNNNNNNNNNNNNNNNNNNNNNNNNNNNNNNNNNNNNNUCUAUGGCCCUGGUGGUUUCGCUCUCUGAACGGAACUCGUCCCCUAAUGUCGUCCCCAUCUUUUUCGAGAAAAAAACGAUGUGUAUGAUUUUCAAAUUUCCAAUCUGAAUUAUCAGAAUGGCAUUCGUAGUUUUAGUAGCAGAACUUUGCCAGAAGACAUGUCCAAAACGUCACCCACAUAGCUGUGAUAUGGAGACAGUAAUAAUAUGUGAACAUUACUGCAUUCUGUUGGAUUCGUGCAUAGGAACCUUGUUUAUGUUACUCCCUCCGAUCCAUAUUAAUUGUCGCUGCUUGAUUUUGUACUAGAGCAGCGACACGGAGGGAGUAAUUGCAAUUGCCGUCUCAAAUCAGAAAUGACAAUCAGUAUCGCCAGUUUUGAGAGAGAGGCAGUACAAUAAUAAUCUACUAUGUACUUUACAGCAAAAUCCAGUGUCUAGGUGUGGUAUUUCCACUAAUCUCAUCAUGUCUAGUGUGUUCAAGAAUUAAAUAGAACGACAGAGGCAAAGUAUUGUACAGUUGCAUUUUGCUGCAUAUGGUCGUGUAGUUACCAAGGUGCUGAAUGUCAACAUUCAAAUCACCAUCCCACCUUCUUCCAAGAUGGAACUUCCCAAUGCUCAUCAGACAAAAGAAUAUCUUACGCUGUUCAGCAAUUUAGACCGAUUGCGUUGAGAAUCACGCCAGUAGCUGAAGAGGCGGUAAGUUGCCGAGAUGUUUGUGCACUUGAAAAAUUGUUCGAAUCUUACUGGUCCCCAUAUGUUUCAUUAGGUUUCCAUUUAGAUAUAGCAUAAAGUACUCUCCCCUUCCAUCCUUGUAGCAGCCAGCCACAAUCUUCAACAGCAAAGAAUUCUUCAUGAUAAUGUAAGUUCUUCCUGUGUACUAUGUUCUUUAAGAUGGCUUGAUCGACAGGAAGCUGCUGGAACCCAGCCUUGAGGCACCUUGCUUGCCACUGCCUGUAAAUUUCUGGCCUCUGAGUUCUUUCUGCACCCUCACAUGCUAUGAUGUUAAGAGCAUCCUGCCCAAAUAGGAUCCUCUCAACCAUCUUUCUUGCUUCGUUAUCCCGUGGAACAUUUGCGUCAAGCAUGUCAAACAGUGAAGAGUAAUGGAGCAUAACCUCUUUGAAACGUUGUAUGAAGAAGGGAGAACUGAGUAACCCAUUCACGGUGCCAGAAAUAAAAAUCUUCGGGUUCAUCCUCCUCAUAGUUUUGAGCACCUUAUCCCUUGCACCAUUUACGGCAUCGGUUUCAUGACCGAGAUUCUUCAUCCGGAACAUGCAGUUCACUAUGAGAACUUCAUCCUCGUCAAUGUUAAGAUCCUCAAUUUUGAUAGUCUCCCAUCUUGAAGCGGCAAUGCCCUGAUACUGGAAAGGUACCUUGAACCUAUUUGUGUAAUCAGCCAACCGCUUCCUUGUCUCCUCGAUCAUUUCGCAGGGGUAGAAACCUGGCUGGGGAACGUCUAUACCUGUGAUCCGAAGCUUAGGGGCUCCCUCUUCUUGCUGUGCAAGUCUCUGAAUCAUUAAUGGCCACUGAAAGCCGAAGCCGAUGCCGAAAUCAACGAUGUGUACCCUUGGUUUCCCUUGUGAGACAUCAAGAAUAGCUUGGGUGGCAAAGUAGUAUAACGCCCUCCCAAAAGGGAAAGCUGGAAGAAAAAGGCUAUAAGCCUCUAACCAAUCUGCUGUACUUGUUCGCCUUUCCACGAGAUUGCGAUAAACCUGACUCCCGAUCCUAGCCAAGCGUGCCUUGAGGCCAUCCGCCAAGUAAAAUGCCAGUCUCUGAGUACAAUCAGCAUCUGCUGAAGAGUGUUGUCUUAUCUUUAAUAGCAGUUCACUGGCCAACAGGUAGCUGUCUUCUGCCACAGCUUGUGCGCAGUGGGUGAGGAGAGUCCGGAGAUCAACCAACUCUUUCCUCGGUUGCUUCCUACUUCUGCUCUGGCCUUUCAGUGAGGUCUUGUUUCCUUCCCCCGCCAUCCUUUCUUGCAGUCUUGUUAUUCGGUCAGAAUGACCAUAGCAUAGCACAACUUGGUCAAAACUUUCAUUUCGAAUUAUUGCACAAGUGGUGAUGGCAUGAUGUUCAUUGUUCCUUCCUUGAAAGAUAGCCCAACCCCUUGGGUCUGCCACCUCAAAAAUUGUGUUUUCGGUCCUCUCUCUUACUUUUUCCUUCGUAGUCAGUUGGGAAAUAUAAAGUAUGUUAUUCUUUGAAUAUAUCACCAGCUUAUCAAUACUUGGAGCAAACAUUCUUUCCUCCCUGACACCUCUCUGGCCAUGCAAGGCAGGGAGGCCAGAUCCGGAAGUCAAUCCGACACUUAUCGAUGACUGGUUUGGUAUAAAAGGACUCCUAUUGCAGAUAUAUGGACUCAACGGGGUUGCUAAAGGCUGUAACACGUUGUAACUGGAAUAGUCAUUACUGAAGCUAGUGUUCCAGAGCCUCUUGUAACGAUUGGUCCCACUCUUAUCAGGGUUGUCUGGUAUGUUUUUGCUAUGCAAUGGCGGCCAGUUAGUAGGCGGCGCGUAUCCCUCCCCAAGAAUGUCACGGAAUGGCUUCUCAGCAGCCUGAAGAGCAGCCCCUUGGCAUAUGCCGACCCCCUCGUCAACGUCUUCCAUCAGCAUCUGGCUUAUGUAGUGAAGAGCAUUGUUUGAUCUGAUUCGGUGGCGCUCAAGGCUACCCCCUGCAGCAAUCUGAAAUUUGUUUUGUCCAUGGCUGCUGUUGACACUUACUUGGUUGGCUGGGGAGAGAACUGUUGAGUGUGGACCACUCAGGUCGUAGUUGUGCACGGUGAGUUGCUGCUGGGAAGAGGAAUCACCAUCGUAUGGUUGGUCGGUUACUGCGAUGCCAUCCAGAUUGUCACGGAGAGGUUCAAUUGCCAUUCUGGAAAGUCUGAUUUCCACAUCAAUAUGAGAUAUAUGGUUAUUGUUGUCCAACAGCAAAUGAACCGGCUUGUUUCCUGGAAGAAGAAAAAAGGGAAAUAGAAGCUAAAUUAUGUGAGAUGAAUUUUGGUUCACCUUGCUCAUGUGCUACCAUCUAGAAUGCCCGUAAAACAGAGUUCUGCUUCUUCCUUUUUAUUUGAGAUUCAGCUUAUUAUUGUUUUGGCAUGCCUUUCUGAUCGAAAACAAAUUCCAAAGGCUUGCAGACACGAGAAUGAGCCGGUUAAACGUAGAAUCUAUGAUGCGCCUAAUACCACUGUUCCUUUUUAUUUGCAGGAGGCUCCUCAUCUGAUCUGAGCAAAGAGGCAAAGUAGGGAAGCACACACCUUGGUUAUUAAGCAGCAGCAGCAACAGAUCCAAUGCUUUGAGAGAGGAGUAGUGAGGGUGUGGACUAUGAAAGAUGAGUAGCGAGGUUGCGGUGUUGAUGUGAAGUAAAUUUGUCGUUCCUCUACCUUAUAGCUUUGUUCCCAACGUCAUAAGAUUGUGACAGAGAAUGGUCCAGAUUACAAGCAAUUACCCUGUCGAUUAGUCCUAGGCCCGGCCGCGCAUCAGACCUAUAAAAAAGGGUUUAUUAGGAGCGCUGGCAUGGGUUUUCAAUCAUUAUUAAGGUUCCUAAUUAAAUCGUUAAAGAAUCCAAGGUAAUCAAAAAAAGGAGAUGCACUAUUCAAAUAUUUUUUCUUUCUUUUCUUUUCCACUUGAUAAUUGAUAUAUAUAUAAUGGUAUUGGUUGAGUCUUUUUAGAGGAUAAUUUGUUGUACUUUAUCUUAUUAAAAUAAUUAGAUUUUUUU
rnacentral:lncRNA from 1 species